rnacentral:lncRNA from 12 species
GGAUUGCUCUCUCUAGGAGUAAAUACAAAUGAGAAUAAAGAUUCUGUCAAACUGGGUUUAAGAAGAUAAAAUUUCAAUCCUCAAGCCAUACAAUACUUGAAUUUACUUUUUUUUUUUUUUGAAUUUACUUAUUAUGUGUCUUUUUUAAACUGUUGUAUUCUACUGGCUUGGUAGAGAAAAGUUUUUACUUUAAAAAAAGUGGGCUCUCCUCGGCAAAGUCACUGAAUGGCUAAGUUGCCAUGUUAAGUGUGGCAUGAGGUUUGGUUCUUAUUAUUAAAGUUUGAAGGAUAUUGUUUAUAUGGGGAGAAGGGGAGGAGAAGUGACCAGCACUGUUUCAAAGCUGGCAUUGUUUCUAAAGGUCCCGAGGGAGUGUUACCAUCCCCAAACAUUAACAGAUGUCAUUCUCCUGUCCUGGGUUGACCUAAGGCCUUUACCCACGGUUUCCUUGUGCAGUGAGUUAGCCUGUGUGGAUUUCGUCAUCUUUCCCUCCAGGGCAGGAGGAGCAAAGAGAAAAAGAGGGCUUUAUAGAUGGAAGAAAUUUACUGAGGUAUGCUCCUCCCAUACUAACAGUUAUGAGACAGAAAGAAGAGAACUUGGGGAGUCCAUAAAAGUUGAUGUAGAAGACUGAAGGAUGUGAUCAUUUCCCAAAGCGGAGGACGUCCUGACAGGGCAACUGUAGCAGGCUCGAGUGGCUGGUGUUGAGAUGGGCAAGUUCAUGAAACCCGGGAAGGUGGUGCUGGUCCUGGCUGGACGCUACUCCGGACGCAAAGCAGUCAUCGUAAAGAACAUUGAUGAUGGCACCUCAGACCAUCCCUACAGCCAUGCUCCGGUGGCCGGAAUUGACCGCUAUCCCUGAAAAGUGACAGCUACCAUGGGCAAGAAGAAAAUCGCCAAGAGGUCAAAGAUCAAGUCUUUUGUGAAAGUUUAUAACUACAAUCACCUCAUGCCCACAAGGUACUCUGUGGAUAUCCCUUUGGACAAAACCGUCGUCAACAAGGAUGUCUUCAGAGACCCUGCUCUUAAACGCAAGGCCUGACGAGAGGCCAAGGUCAAGUUCGAGGAGAGGUACAAGACUGGCAAGAAUAAGUGGUUCUUCCAGAAGCUGCAGUUUUAGAUUUCUUUCUGUCAUUAAAAAUAAAUUAAAAAAAAACAAACA